UUCGGCUUCUGAGUAACUCAGUGUUAUUACAGAUUCUGAGAGCUCGGACUCGUCUUGUGCUUGGUGCGACUCAUUUAAUGAAACCCAGGAUGAAUGUUGACUUUUGGUGGAGUAUUCAUAAAUUAAAAUCGUGGGGAGAAAGAAAAAAAAAAAAAUUUCUUGUGAGGUAUUAAGAAAACGAACCAUAUUCUGCGGUCUGUCUGCAAUCUGAGAAACCCUUACUGCAGGAGCUUCUGAGAUCAUCUGCUUCUGUCACAGUGCUAAUGCUGCUAACUUCGUGCUCUUCUGCUUGUAUCUUCAUUUUCAGAAGAAAUUACACAAAACAUAAUUAGUUAGAAAGCCUUAAAUAAUGUAAUAUAUUUACAUGUAGAAACAGUGCCAAGGUACUAAAACUACAGAAUGCAAAAUAUGACAAAUUA